UCCCCCGUGGCGUAACGAUAGCGCGAAGAGCUCUAACCUCUUGUCAGUCUCGGUUUGAAUCCGGGCGGGGGCAC
rnacentral:tRNA from 2 species